GGUCUCUUCAGCAUAGCAACAGCAGCGUAGCUGAACAUCUUACGGAUGGCCCAGGGCUCCAAAGGCUCGUUUCCUAAGUGAGAGAGAGCCUGGCUGAAGCUGUAUUACCAUUCAUUCUCCAGCCUCCGAAGUCUCAAAGCAUCACUUCCACCAUACUCUAACUGUCAAGACAAACACAAAGGCCCAGAGCCUGUUCUGCUGGGACACAGAAUCACUUGCUCCAUCUCAUACAUUGAUGAUGAUUAAUUUGUAUGUGUACCUUCCAAAAAAGAUGGUUGUGUUUGAAUGGAGGCCUUCUGGACAGGAAAAUAUGGAGAGUGCGUGCUUUGGAUUCAAGACUGGGAAUGAGGGGACCAGAAACCUAUUCUGUGGCUGUUUCUUGUUAGGACUUUCCUAAGCCUCUGGAAAAGUGCAAAGUACAAUUAACAUUUGAGUCUGUCUGAGUCAUGAAGAAAUGGAGAUUACUGAAAAUAAUUCAUUUUGGUAUCUUCUUACAUCCUGAGAGACUAAUCUUUCCAAGUUCAUCUGAGGCUCCUCUUCUCCAUGACAACCUCAUCCAGGGAUUUCUUCCUGUCCUGGUGUUUUAUGACAUAAUCACAUCCUUCCUGAGAUAAUGAGCACACAAUUGCCUGGAUACCUGAAGGAAUGGAGACAGCGGCAGAAAACACUGCAGAGAGGUGGAAACAUCCGUUAAUAUUUUAAAAUCCCAUUACUGCUACCAACAAUAAUAAUGGAUGCAUAGAAAUAGAUCUGGAUUAGCUGAGCUUGAAACAGUCCAUCUCACACACACACAAAAGAAUUUCAGAUACAGUGAACCCACAUGUUGAAGCUUUCUAGUAUAAUAAAAAUUUCAACUGUUCUGUUGAAUCAUCUGCCUGAUUGGAGGCUACAGAAAAGAUGUCAUCUUAGGAGUGCUUGCUCUGAGUGAGGCUCAUCUUCAAAUCUGAAUGACCACAAGGAGAUUUGAUUAUACAUGUGAACACCUCAGAAGGCACAGCCCACCCAGAAGGCAGACAGGUCAGGCUGCUUUUUCUUCAUUGCUUGGAUUCAAUCCUCCGGGCGGCUCAGGCUCAAACAUAACUUAAGCAUGAUUAAACUUUAGAAGAAGCUGCCAGGAAGACUGUGAAAUCUUCAUGCCCAAGGAUCCCUAAAAUUAGGAGCAACAACCACUUGGCUCAGACGGUUUAUGGAGGCAAAGGUUUGGAUGGGAUUAGAGAUUUCUAAAUGUGAGUUCGUGUCCUCUGCCAGACCACCUUACUUCCACCAUUCCUCAGCAAAUCAAGAAAAACAGGAGAAAAGACAUGCCUUUCCAUAAGUUAAAUCUAUUCUGUUUUAAUUCUAUAUUAUAUCUGCUGUACAACUUCUUUUGUUUGUAACACCAUAUUGUUGCUAGUAACUGGAAAUUAAUUUUCACAUGCCUCAGCUUAGAAAAAUAAAAAGCAGCCCUGCAUCAA
rnacentral:lncRNA from 1 species